rnacentral:rRNA from 1 species
GAGUUUGAUCCUGGCUCAGGAUGAACGCUGGCGGCGUGCCUAACACAUGCAAGUCGAACGAAGAACCCUUGACGGAGUUUCGGACAAAGGAGAGGAAUUCUUAGUGGCGGACGGGUGAGUAACGCGUGAGUAACCUGCCUUGGAGUGGGGAAUAACACAGUGAAAAUUGUGCUAAUACCGCAUAAAGCAGUUGAGUCGCAUGACUCUGACUGCCAAAGAUUUAUCGCUCUGAGAUGGACUCGCGUCUGAUUAGUUAGUUGGCGGGUAACGGCCACCAAGACGACGAUCAGUAGCCGGACUGAGAGGUUGACCGG